rnacentral:rRNA from 1 species
UGCGUAGACGGGAAAUUAAGUUAGUUGUGAAAUCCCUCGGCUUAACUGAGGAACUGCAACUAAAACUGAUUUUCUUGAGUGCUGGAGAGGAAAGUGGAAUUCCUAGUGUAGCGGUGAAAUGCGUAGAUAUUAGGAGGAACACCAGUGGCGAAGGCGACUUUCUGGACAGUAACUGACGUUGAGGCACGAAAGUGUGGGGAGCAAACA